rnacentral:rRNA from 1 species
CAGUCGCCACGGGAAUACGUAGGGUGCAAGCGUUAAUCGGAAUUACUGGGCGUAAAGCGUGCGCAGGCGGUGUUGUAAGACUGAUGUGAAAUCCCCGGGCUCAACCUGGGAACUGCAUUGGUGACUGCAACGCUGGAGUGCGGCAGAGGGGGAUGGAAUUCCGCGUGUAGCAGUGAAAUGCGUAGAGAUCUGGAGGAAUACCGGUGGCGAAGGCGGCCCCCUGGACAAAGACUGACGCUCAGGUGCGAAAGCGUGGGGAGCAAACAGGAUUAGAUACCCCAGUAGUCCCUGUCUCUUAUAA